rnacentral:rRNA from 1 species
GACGGAGGGGGCUAGCGUUGUUCGGAAUUACUGGGCGUAAAGAGCGCGUAGGCGGAUUAGUAAGUUGGGAGUGAAAGCCCGGGGCUUAACCUCGGAACUGCUUUCAAAACUGCUAGUCUAGAGUGAAGUAGGGGGUGAUGGAAUUCCAAGUGUAGAGGUGAAAUUCUUAGAUAUUUGGAGGAACACCGGUGGCGAAGGCGGUCACCUGGGCUUCAACUGACGCUGAGGCGCGAAAGCGUGGGGAGCAAACAGG